CCCAGUCCCUCCCAGUCCCUCCCAGUGCUCCCAGUGCCCCCAGUCCCAGUAUGUCCCAGUCCCUCCCAUCCCUCCCAGUGCUCCCAGUGCCCCCAGUCCCAGUAUGUCCCAGUCUCCCCCAGUGCCCCCCAGUCCCUCCCAGUCCCUCCCAUGUCCCCAGUCCCAGUAUGUCCCAGUCCCUCCCAGUGCUCCC
rnacentral:lncRNA from 1 species